rnacentral:rRNA from 1 species
GACGAACGCUGGCGGCGUGCUUAACACAUGCAAGUCGAGCGGUAAGGCCCUUUCGGGGGUACACGAGCGGCGAACGGGUGAGUAACACGUGGGUGACCUGCCCUCAGCUCUGGGAUAAGCCUGGGAAACCGGGUCUAAUACUGGAUAUGACUCCAUGACGCAUGUUGUGGGGUGGAAAGCCUUGUGCGGCUGAGGAUGGGCCCGCGGCCUAUCAGCUUGUUGGUGGGGUGANGGCCUACCAAGGCGACGACGGGUAGCCGGCCUGAGAGGGCGACCGGCCACACUGGGACUGAGACACGGCCCAGACUCCUACGGGAGGCAGCAGUGGGGAAUCUUGCGCAAUGGGCGAAAGCCUGACGCAGCGACGCCGCGUGA